rnacentral:rRNA from 1 species
GGCAACGCUGGCGGCAGGCCUAACACAUGCAAGUCGAACGGAUCCUUCGGGAUUAGUGGCAGACGGGUGAGUAACGCGUGGGAAGCUACCUUGUGGUAGGGAACAACAGUUGGAAACGACUGCUAAUACCCUAUGAGCCCUAUGGGGGAAAGAUUUAUCGCCAUGAGAUGUGCCCGCGUUAGAUUAGCUAGUUGGUAAGGUAAUGGCUUACCAAGGCGACGAUCUAUAGCUGGUCUGAGAGGAUGAUCAGCCACACUGGGACUGAGACACGGCCCAGACUCCUACGGGAGGCAGCAGUGGGGAAUAUUGGACAAUGGGGGCAACCCUGAUCCAGCCAUGCCGCGUGAGUGAUGACGGCCUUAGGGUUGUAAAGCUCUUUCAGCAGUGAAGAUAAUGACAUUAACUGCAGAAGAAGCCCCGGCUAACAUCGUGCCAGCAGCCGCGGUAAUACGAAGGGGGCUAGCGUUGUUCGGAAUCACUGGGCGUAAAGCGUACGUAGGCGGACUGAUCAGUCAGGGGUGAAAUCGGGGGGCUCACUCACGGAACUGCCUUUGAUACUGUCAGUCUUGAGAUCGAGAGAGGUGAGUGGAACUCCGAGUGUAGAGGUGAAAUUCGUAGAUAUUCGGAAGAACACCAGUGGCGAAGGCGGCUCACUGGCUCGAUACUGACGCUGAGGUACGGAAGCGUGGGGAGCAAACAGGAUUAGAUACCC